GAUGAACGCUGGCGGCGUGCCUAAUACAUGCAAGUCGAGCGAACGGACGAGAAGCUUGCUUUUCUGAUGUUAGCGGCGGACGGGUGAGUAACACGUGGAUAACCUACCUAUAAGACUGGGAUAACUUCGGGAAACCGGAGCUAAUACCGGAUAAUAUUUUGAACCGCAUGGUUCAAAAGUGAAAGACGGUCUUGCUGUCACUUAUAGAUGGAUCCGCGCUGCAUUAGCUAGUUGGUAAGGUAACGGCUUACCAAGGCAACGAUGCAUAGCCGACCUGAGAGGGUGAUCGGCCACACUGGAACUGAGACACGGUCCAGACUCCUACGGGAGGCAGCAGUAGGGAAUCUUCCGCAAUGGGCGAAAGCCUGACGGAGCAACGCCGCGUGAGUGAUGAAGGUCUUCGGAUCGUAAAACUCUGUUAUUAGGGAAGAACAUAUGUGUAAGUAACUGUGCACAUCUUGACGGUACCUAAUCAGAAAGCCACGGCUGACUACGUG
rnacentral:rRNA from 1 species